rnacentral:rRNA from 1 species
AGAACCUACCGGGACCUGACACGUCGAGAAAUUUUCAGAGAUGGAUUGGUGCCCUUGCGAGAUCGAACACACGUGCUGCCAAGGCUCUCGUCAGAUCGUGUCGUGAGAUGUUGGGGUUAAGUCUCGCAAACGAGAGCAAACCUUGUCCCUAGUUGGCAGCACGUACUGGUGGGAACUCUAAGGAGGACGCCGAUGACUAAACCGGAGGAAAGUGGGGAUGACGUCAAGUCAUCAUGGGCCAUACGGACAAGGCUACACACCUACUACAAUGGUCAUAUCAGAGGAGAGCAAGCCGGCGACGGUCAGUCAAUCCCAGAAACCCUAUCUCAAUCCGGAAUCGAGUCUGCAACUUGGCUGCCAGAAGUCCGAAUCGCUAGGAAUCGCAGUAUCAGCAU